UACAGAGGGUGCGAGCGUUGUUCGGAAUUAUUGGGCGUAAAGCGUGCGUAGGCGGUGUCUUAAGUUUGUUGUGAAAUCUCCCGGCUUAACCGGGAGGGUGCGGCGAAUACUGAGAUGCUGGAGUGCCGGAGAGGUAAGCGGAAUUCCUGGUGUAGCGGUGAAAUGCGUAGAUAUCAGGAGGAACACCUGCGGUGUAGACGGCUUACUGGACGGUAACUGACGCUGAGGCACGAAAGCGUGGGUAGCAAACAGG
rnacentral:rRNA from 1 species